rnacentral:lncRNA from 1 species
GGAUCACAAGGCGGCGGCGGAGGAGGCCCAGAGACCGGAGCGCGGAGACCUCAGCCAGCGGCCUACGCCCAGGCCUUUCUCCACCGGAGGACCAGGGAACCGCAGUCUUCAUCACAGAGGUUCUUUUUAAAGGCUCUGUUUUUGUUUUGGGUUUUCUUCAUCUACUAUUGAUCCAAGAUUUAUCCAUUUAUUCAUCAUUGAAUCAAGAAGGGUAUAUCCUGACCUGCUAUCCCUCCCCCUCCAACAAGAGUGGAACAAUUAUUUUGUAUCCAUUCACUGUUUACUGGGUUGUCACCCCAUCCAACAAGAGUGGAACAGUGUUUUUGUAUCCAUUCCCUGUUUACUGGGUUGUCACCCCCUCCCAAUGGCUCUGCGAUCCAGCAAGAUGUGGUAGUAGGGAGGGAGCUAAUGCCAG